CCUACGGGAGGCAGCAGUGGGGAAUAUUGCUCAAUGGGCGAAAGCCUGAUGCAGCAACGCCGCGUGAAGGAAGAAGGGUUUCGGCUUGUAAACUUCUAUCAAUAGGGACGAAAGAAAUGACGGUAAUUGAAUAAGAAGCCUCGGCUAACUACGGGACAGCAGCCGCGGGAAUACGUAGGGGGCAAGCGUUAUCCGGAAUUACUGGGUGUAAAGGGUGAGUAGGCGGCAUGGUAAGCCAGAUGUGAAAGCCCUGGGCUUAACCCGGGGAUUGCAUUUGGGACUAGCAAGCUAGAGUACAGGAGAGGAAAGCGGAAUUCCUAGUGUAGCGGUGAAAUGCGUAGAGAUUAGGAGGAACACCAAUGGCGAAGGCGGCCUGCUGGGCUUUAACUGACGCUGAGGCUCGAAAGCGUGGGGAGCAAACAGGAUUAGAUACCCGUGUAGUC
rnacentral:rRNA from 1 species